GAAAAUUUACACCAGUGGAAUUCAUACAGCGACCCAAGAUGUGUAUUUGAAGCAACUCUUGUGAGCCACUAGGAGACCCGCCAUCCCCGAGGACCAUUUACGUCCUCAAGCGCCAUCAGCAACAACUCCAGCAUCAGCAGGGAGAAGACUUUCCGUGACGCAAAUACCAGUAAAUGUACUGCGGUCACCCCGAAUGAUGUAGCACCAGUAGUCAUCACUUUUCAUCGACGCAGAACGGACACCCAGACAAAUCCUCUUACCUGCCUCCUCACAUCUCCACGACACUAACCGAUAUCCCCAUCCAUCGACUGCCGCAAUUUGCUGCGGUAGGCGACUGAGAUAAUAAGGCUACACCCAACGUUCUCAUCGUCAGCUUCUCUUGUGUCACAGUAAACCUACAGACACGCACAUGUCACUGUCACAUACCUGUCACAGACAGAUCUGCCACAAGACAAAUGAUGACGUCAUCAGGACAUCCUUUGACGCUUGUCGGUUGUCGAACAUCUACCCUUGUCGCAGUCCUCUCGUCAACUCUGCCCCUGUCGUCAGUGCUGCGAACCAUCGAGUCGACCGUCGACAGUCACUUCAAGCAGACGUACGGCAAACGACCGCCUGCCACAGUGACGUCACCAUCGACCUUUACACCUGACGACCUCUGCGCGGAAAUCCCGCUCGUGCUUAGGGUAUCCGCGAAUAGGUUCACGUGCGUGUAUGCGAGUCUCUACAUCUGCCCUGCCCCACCACCAGGACACAAUGUAACACCCACAUGGACUCGGGGCAGACGACAGGCCCUAUAUAGUCGGGCUGAUAGAUGUUUGUGAGGGUCAAAUGACUCGUCCAUGAUGACAAAUUGCAAGUUUGUGAGUUACAAACGAUAGGUUCCAGCGGUGACAGUCGCAAUAGAUGAUGAAUGGACAGUCACACUCAUGAUAAACUGCGAAGGUCCAGUGUGGCUAAUGACAGAUGCUAGUGUUGACAAACAACUGUCAGUGAUUUCUAGUGUCAAGGAGAAAGAUGUCCCUAGUCCACACUACCUUCUGAUGUUGAACUCCUGCCCUCAGCUGACCUCAGCCUGCAGACAGCACCGUGUAGAGUAGACGCCAAGAUAGAGUUUUUCAAGACAGUGACUAGAGUUAGAGAGUUUAGACAACGGACAAUGCACACGUACAUCAAUGGACUUUUACAGUUUACAUUAGAAGAAUGCUGACGAAUCCUAAAAGACAUCCCUUCGUUAUCAAGUUGCGAUAACUCCUGGCAGACAAAACGCUGCCAUAGCUACAAAUACCUAGCCUGACUCAC